rnacentral:rRNA from 1 species
UACGAAGGGGGCUAGCGUUGUUCGGAAUUACUGGGCGUAAAGCGCGCGCAGGCGGUUCUCCAAGUCAGGGGUGAAAGCCCGGAGCUCAACUCCGGAAUUGCCAUUGAAACUGUUGAACUUGAGGACGAGAGAGGUGAGUGGAAUUCCCAGUGUAGAGGUGAAAUUCGUAGAUAUUGGGAAGAACACCGGUGGCGAAGGCGGCUCACUGGCCCGAUACUGACGCUGAGGCACGAAAGCGUGGGGAGCAAACAGG